rnacentral:rRNA from 1 species
GUGCCUACGGGACGCAGCAGUAGGGAAUUUUCGUCAAUGGGCGCAAGCCUGAACGAGCGAUGCCGCGUGAGUGAAGAAGGCCUUCGGGUCAUAAAGCUCUGUUGCGGGGGAAAAAAGGCAGCAUCAGGAAAUGGGUGCUGACUGAUGGUGCCACGCCAGAAAGUCACGGCUAACUACGUGCCAGCAGCCGCGGUAAUACGUAGGUGGCGAGCGUUAUCCGGAAUGAUCGGGCGUAAAGGGUGCGCAGGCGGUCCUGCCAGUCUGGAGUGAAACGCAGGAGCUCAACUCAUGCAUGGCUUUGGAUA